rnacentral:lncRNA from 1 species
CAAAAGAAGUAAAAUAGGCGGUAAAGAGGGAGGGGGGGAAAUUAAUAGCCAACAAAAAUAGGAGCCGCAGAUCUUUGAGAGGCAGCCCUGGCGAGAGUGGUGGUGCCUAGCCGGCCUUUUUUUUUCGGAAUAUUUCCGUAGCCGUGGGUUGAAAGGGGAGAGUUGCGGCAUACUUUUAUUCUCGUUUUCUCUGCAGACAUUUGAAAGCGUGAAGGCAGAGUGGAGGGUGCCUUUUUUUUUUUUUUUCCCCACUCCUUUCCUCCUUCCUCUCUGCUGAAUUAUUCAUAGUGUCAGCGGUGAAGCCAGGACUAUUAGCAUGCAUCAGACAUGCUGUUUGUCUGUUUGCUAACAUUCUUCAUUCAAGACUUGUUAACUACCAGACAAGCUUAACACGCUUCUCUCUUUCCCCUCCCUCUCUCCCUCUCUCCCUCCCUCCCUUUCUCCCUCCUCUCUCCCUUCCCUUCCCCUCCAUGCCACCCCUCGCAGCCUCCCAUUGUUGUCGCGGGGAGCUGGCAGCAGGGGCACUUGUGGCAGGGGCAGCGUGCGGAGGAGCCGCCGAGCGUGCUUGCAGCGUUGUUAAACAUCAGUGUGCAGAGCAGUUACAACGCAGCUGGUAA